UAUACGGCUCACUGCUGCGGCGGGGCCGCCGCUUUUUCGGCUGGCCUCUCCCCGGCCCUCCCAUUGGAGCGCGCAAAGCUGCGCGGCACCAUUUAAAGAAGCAAACUGCACUCCACCACCACCACCACCACCACCGUCGCCACCAAGCACACCGCCGCACCACACGAUCCAACGCGCACCCCGGGGGAGGAGGAGGCAGGCGAGGAUCGAACCGGCUGGGGCUUUGGCUUCUCCGGUGAGGGUUCCUGCGUGCUGCCGCGCGAGAGCAGAAAGUAGAUCGGAUUUGGGCCGGGUUCUUGGAGCACUGGGCACCAAACUCGUCCAGGUUGUGCGAAAAUGCAGUGGAACCUGUAGCUAGUUUUUGAAAGACCAUCCUGUAGCUAGUUGAUCGGACCUCCUCACCUGAUACUGGCAUUUCUUUAAUUGUUUGGAGCUUGGGGAGCUUCCUUUAGGCUGGAAAUUUCUGAAGCUGUUCUGGAAAAUCUGUUGUGCCUGCAAAUGGCAGACGAUCCUAAUAUGAAUUUUGGGGCAUUUUCCCAGUCACUCUGCAACCAGCAUGUAGUUUCAUUUCAGACAAGUGCAACCACUAGUGGGUCUGGAGGCAUGCCAACGUACCUGGGUUGUUCCACUGGGAUGGAUGCCAGUGUGGGGAUGUUGAGCACCACACCUUCAGUGGUUGUUUCCACUGGUUCAUCUAAUAUGCCAGCUGAUCCAGGGCAGAACCUCAAAUACGGAGGGCCGCUGGCUGCAGAUUGGACACAUCUUGAGCUUCAAAUUCUGAGAGAUGGCCUGGAUAAAUAUGUUCAUGAACAAGGCAUCAUGAAGUAUAUAAAGAUAGCAGCAUCAUUACCGAACAAGACGGUAAGAGACGUCGCCAUGAGGUGCCAGUGGGUAGGGAAGAAAGUAAAUACAAGACGAAGGAAGCCCCAAGAACACCAUACUGGCAGAAAUAUAAAAGAAAGAAAGGAUAAAUUUGUAGAGCCUGCACUAUGGGGAGCAAAUCAUCCUCUUCAAACUGGCAUGAGAACCAAUUCAUUUGUGCCACAUAAUGUUCAAAACAAUCUAUUUCUAUCUGGAGGUUGGUAGGUCACUUGUGUAUCAGGUCUAAUUGAUUGCUUCCAUUUAUCUACUCUGUUUCUUGUUAUCUGCUGUUAACUGCUGUCACGUGCCAUUAUCAAUAUUAUACUCUGGCAUUUAAAAUUUUCACUUUCAGAGGGUAAAUACUGCUAAAUACUUGAGUGACUGAACUAUUUGACUUAUUAUUGACUCCAUUGCUAAGUUUAUCGCAGGUAGGAACUCCAUUGGAGCUUGAUAUUUAAUAUAUUGUUGAAUGCAUAUAUUUUUAACUCCUCUGAGAUAGAUCGUCCAGUACAUCAUCUACUGGAGGAAAAUAAUCAGCUUCUUAUUCAAAUAGAAACAAAUAUUCGGACAUUUCAGGCUCAGAACAACAUUGAUCUCUUCUGUCAGGCAAGAAGGAACAUUAAUGAUAUUCUACAUAUCACGACUCAACUGCCUGGAAUGAGUACCAAAAUGCCUCCGCUUCGCGUCUCAGUGAAUGAAGGUCUUGCUAGCUUCGUGCUUCCUGGCAUUUCAAUGGAUCAAAUUCUUGGAAGCAGCAAUUUGAAGGAGGAACCAAGAGGAUGGUAGGCCACUGCCAGCAGGUUUCAGUAUAAGCAGACUUUCAGACUUUUAUCCGUAGAUCCAUGGAACGUAUGGAGAACUACUACUUCAUUUUGCUCACAUCCAUGGAACGGUGCCUUGAACAUUGGUGGCUGAACAGCGAGGGUUUCAGGACCUGCAGUUUUUCUGGACUUGCUGCACCUGUAAAUAACUAUGAUUCUUCUGUGUUCCUCCUUAAGAUGCUAGGGUAAAUAGAUGUAGCAGAGGAAGUUCACAAGAACUAGUAGCUAAAUAGUACCUUAAAAACAAAACUAGCUACAUUGCAAGAAUGAAAGCCUUUUUGCCGGUCGCCA